UUAUCCAAAGUCCUCUGGGCUUAUAUAAACAGACGAUUAUUUAUUUGUACACAAGAAAUAGUUCUUAUCCAAAGUCCAAACAGUGCAGAAUCACAGGUAUAAGAAACAACUUCUGGGGCUUAUAUAAAUAGAAGACUGUUUAAUUGUACACAAGGAUUGAUCAAAACAACAACAUUCUGUUGGCUAAUUCUUACCACUUAUUCACUACUCUUAUUGCCAAAAUCAGCAGCAGCUUGGGCUGCACGUGUCAAUACGUCAGAAACCCAAACAGCUCCCUUAGCAAAGUAACUGCUAUUCACCACAGCAUUAGCAGCUGCUACAGCUGCCUUUCCUGUAUAAGUAGCUGCAACUACAGCUGCUGUCCCUGUAACUAAUACCGCUGAUGCAGUGAUAUCCGAGACAUGGUACUUCUGGUCGACCGAUUUCACAGUUUCCAUGCCAGCUUGUAUCUUGUCUGUGAGUCCAAUUCUGUUGCUAAGCUCAGCUACUUUGGCUGCUGCAGUAGCUGAGACUUGAUGAGAUUCAUCAAAAGCUUUGGCUUUGAUCAAUGCGUCUUUUCCUAAAACGUAUCCUUUGGCUAGCAUUGUCCUGACAACUUCCUGAGCCACAGUCACUACUUCUCCAGGGGAAGAAGUAUACUGGUUCAUAUGAAUUCCCUGCCAAGAUUUGUUAAAGAGUUAGCUCAAAAGAACAGCUUGAAGCACAGUUAGAGCUAUUUAUCACUUCCAAUGUGCAACUACGAACCAGGGCAGCAUAAAACAACAGUAAGACCAUUCAAAGGCAAGUGAAUGCACAAAUCAGAAUACUAUGUUACAGAGACAAAGCAAGCAACCAGGAAAUCUGAGCAGUUCUGAAACAUAAUGUAAACAAAAUAAUAAAUGAAGUAUUGGAAAAUGCAACAGUAACUGGAUGGCAAUUUCAAUCCCUGAGCAAUAAUCGAUGGUACUCAUUAUUUGUGACAUUGUGAUUUUAAUGUAUGAUUGUCGUUCUAGAAACUCCAAUUGCCUAGUAUAUCAUAAUAACAAGGCACAUUACAUAUGAUAGUUUCUGAUCAAUGCCAAGUCAAACUACCCACGAGUUAUUAAGCGAAUAUAAUCUGCAAAGGCAUCAAUCUUAAGAAACUUGAAAUGGUUAUUAGAUGAGAACUGUGAUGUUUGUCACCAACUAAUCUUCAUGCAACCUUAGAAUCAAUCCUGGGAUGUCCUCAAUUAGUACCUUGGUUAUAAAAACAAGUUCAAUGUUUCUAAGAUAACUAAAAUUCUGAUCUGCUUUGGACUUCUAUUGUCUUUCUUGGUAAUCAACACGUAUUGUUAAAGCUAAUGUCCUCUAAGGCUCACACAUUCCAAAAGAUGUUCACCCUAAUUGCAAAUCUCUAACAAAUUUUCUAUUUUUGGCAGAAUAUGUAUCUAUUUGCAUUAUUUCUUCUGGUGAGAAUUUUAAAGAAGGUUUACAGGUUUCAAUUUAAUGCCAAAAUCCAGUAAGUUCGUUAAUGUCACAAGCUUACCAAAUAAAUGGAAUAAUGAUAAAAGAUAAUUAUGCAUACCGUUGAGCCAGCAUUUUCGACCUUCCAUGAAUUCCAAGGAUCAGAUUCAUCCAUGUAAGUCCCCCAGUGAGUAAUGCAUAUGCGUUGAUCCAUAAUUGUAGCUCCCUAAAAUAUCAAAAUUAGUACAAAAUUGCCACAUCAAAUGCUAAGCUGUCAGAUAGCUUGAGCAUUGGAACCUUUAGGAGUAGAUGUUUACUGAUAAUUAGUUCAUUCGGCACAUGAAGCAAUUCAAAUAACACUACUAUUAUUCAUUCAACUUUGUUCUCUAGAAUUAAGGCACAUAUAAACCUUUAAAAUUGUGAACCUUCUGUCAACACUAAAUGAUGAAUAGAAAGGAAAUAAAUGAUACAGCAAGUGAGCUGCACGUUAAAUGGACAAAUUUAUGCAUCUUUCAUUACUGUCUAGUACAACAUAUGAACUCCAAUCCAGUAAAUAUUCUAAUCCACCAGAUGAUCCAACUUAUAGCGUCAGUAUGUACAAGAAGGUCCAACUUACUGAGGCCAGCCUAGAGUUCGGGAAUUUAUUUAAGAAUUUGAAAGCAUAGAGUCAUUACAAAGACAUAUUGAAAGCUAAAACAUGGAUGAACAUUAUGGAUUCAGGGAGCCAAUACUCGUUUUCCUCAAGGAUAACUGAUAAACUUACACUGAGCAGGAUGGCAGUUUCAAGAGCAUAGGCACCUCUAAAUGUUACAUAUGCAGUGGAACCAUACUCACUAGACCUGCUAGGCAAUAUACCAAGAAAGAUCAGCAGAAAGCAUCCAGUACAUCUGUACAUGCUUGCUUACCCCCUUUGCCCUCCCUUGAAUUAGUAAGAAUCACAUGUAGAAAUUCAUUUUACAUUUGGAUUCCACAUUAAAGUGAAAAGCAUAAAGAUGAAAGAAAAUAAUAGACAGCUGAACAUUUACCUGAUGAUUUCAACAUGCUCAAUUGGACCACAGUGAGCGAAAAAAUCAUACACAUCCUCUACAGUUGCUUUGGGAGAUAAGCAUGUAACUUCAGCUGUAUAACCACUAGGAUACAUCCCGUUAAAUGCGGUUCAAUCUGGAAAGUCAGAUGCAAAGUGAAACAGGCUGGAGAGAUCACCUAUAAAUAAAAUUUGAGCAGGCUACUAUUAAGGGUAAGUUUGGUUUCUAGAUAUGACCAUUUCUCACUUCAAUACUUAUAAAGAUAAUGCCUUACACUCCAUUUUGUUGUUCGGAAAGGAGAAUACUUGAGAUAAGGUAAAUGUCACAAUGGGACAAAUACAUACAUUAUCUUCUUGAUGCGUCUCUGCUCUAUCUUAUGAUACUGAGGUCCAUAAUCCUCAGUGGUCCCUCCCUUACAUCAAAACCCACAUUGCAUACACACAUGAUGGAAGCAGAAAUUCCUCACAUCUAAUGAAUAUACCCAUGCUUAACCAUUUGAAUCUGCUAAGGCACCUAACAGUUGAACAGUACAACAAGAUCCUAAGUGAUUCACACGCACACUAUCCAAUGCAUUAAUUAAAUAAUUCUUUUGGUGGUAUUACAUGAAUAGGCAUAAGAUCAUCAAGAUUCACAAAAAUGUUCCUUUUUUCCAUGAAUGUUUCCCCAAAAAAUUCCUGGAACGUGACGGAAUGUGCUGGAUACGAAUCGUGUAAAGCUAAAGCUUAGCUUGUAUUGUAAGGUUCAUAUUGCAAGUCAAACAAUGCACACAGUAAACGGAUUGAAGCUUGAGUAAAGUGUUAGAUUAAACUUUAAAGAAUUCAACU
rnacentral:misc_RNA from 1 species